AAUGGGCGCAAGCCUGAUCCAGCUAUCCCGCGUGCAGGAUGACGGCCUAUGGGUUGUAAACUGCUUUUGUACAGGAAGAACGCCCUCAUUUAUGAGGGCCUGACGGUACUGUAAGGAUAAGCACCGGCUAACUCCGUGCCAGCAGCCGCGGUAAUACGGAGGGUGCAAGCGUUAUCCGGAAUCACUGGGUUUAAAGGGUGCGUAGGCGGCGCUAUAAGUCAGAGGUGAAAGGCCACAGCUUAACUGUGGGACUGCCUUUGAUACUGUAGUGCUUGAAUUAGGCUGAGGUCGGCGGAAUGUGACAUGUAGCGGUGAAAUGCUUAGAUAUGUCAUAGAACACCAAUUGCGAAGGCAGCUGACUAGACCUUAAUUGACGCUGAGGCACGAAAGCGUGGGGAGCGAACAGGAUU
rnacentral:rRNA from 1 species